AGGGGGAGCACUGGAUCUUGGGCUGUGUCCCUGGGCGCCCUGGGCUGUGGGGCCUGUGCUGCUGGAAUCACGCUCCUGGGGCUGUGCAGCCCCCU
rnacentral:pre_miRNA from 1 species